UACGUAGGGGGCUAGCGUUGUUCGGAAUUACUGGGCGUAAAGAGCGCGUAGGCGGCGCAGCGUGUUUGGUGUGAAAUCUCCCGGCUUAACCGGGAGGGGCCAUUGAAAACUGCUGUGCUUCGGGUACGGGAGAGGGGAGUGGAAUUCCCGGUGUAGCGGUGAAAUGCGUAGAGAUCGGGAGGAACACCAGCGACGAAGGUGGCUCCCUGGACCGUUACCGACGCUGAGGCGCGAACGCGUGGGGAGCGAACAGG
rnacentral:rRNA from 1 species